GUCCUAGACAGACCUCAUUCUAGACGCUGCUCUGCUACAGAUCAUUCGUGUCUGUCUUCGUAUGCUUAAUUAAAAAAAAAAAAAUGGGGAUUGUAAAUAAAGUAAUGCUCCCUUUUCCCUCAGAGAGAUGCAGUGAACAUCAGGGAGACCAGACUUCAAGCACGGGACAAAGUUGGGCAAGGUGAACCAAAGGGCUCCAUUCUGAGCCAAAGCUGGAUGAAGACCAGUGUUUCGAAAGUUCAAUGAAGUGAGCUAGUUUGGAGCUAUGGAAUCUGGGGCUAUGACAUUUGGAGCUAUGGAGCCCGGGGCUAUGGAGGCAUGGGCUGUGUUCAUCUAGCGUACUCCUCUGACCUUCCGGAGGAUGUCUGCUACUUCAGUCACCCGAGCCACUCUUUUGCUGGAGGAACCCUUCUGUAACUGGCUUCGUGAAGAUGACGUUUUCCAAGAAUUCAUUGGAUAUGAAGGCAUGGGGUUUUACAGUAUUGGAAAACCAAACAUGUCUCACUGGGGAAAAAACAUGUGUUGAUCAGAACGGUUUCUGUUGUGGCUCAUAAGCGUGUGUCUGAGCCUCAUUGGAGUGACGCAGAACUCUGUCUAAAACUUCAGUUAUUCGGGGCUGACCUGUACUUCAGGCCAGACUGGUUGUUUGGGGGAAAGGGCCCCACUCCAGUUUCUGGCUUCGAUCUUAAGCUGAUUUUAAGCUCAUCUUGUUGCCAUUCACUCAGGAAAAUUUGAGGAGAGCAAGAAACCCAGCUCGAUACAUUUUUUUUCUCGUUUGCUUCUUAAUCUCUUAACAUUCCAUCAGUGUAUAUUCAUUGUAUAGAGAGAUGGGUUUAUAAUGGCUCAAGAAGAGUGUGUUCACUGAGCAUGCCUCUUGCCAAUUACCCCUCCUGUCCUGUGUGUGCGUGUGUGUGUGUGCGUGUGUGUGUGUAUGUUUAUGUACAAUCUAGGUUCUACAUAGAGAAAUUCUAGCAGUCUGGCCCUCAAAGCUUACUAUAACCAUGCUAAGUGACAUCCACGUCUCUGUAAAUGGCAUGAGUAGCUUUUCUAAAGCCAUUUGUCCUUAAAGUCUUCGUUCUGGCUCAGCAGCUCAUUUAAGACUUAUUUAUUUUUAUCUUGUGCGGGUGAGCGUUAGUCUGUCAAGAGCGGAUCUGACUUUGCAUCCCAGGAGAAGGCUUGCGACACCCGGGCCCGGUGUUUUGCCUGGGCCCUUGUGUUAGAUGAUUUGUGAUGCUCUCUCCUCGGCAGGAGCAUGCUAAGUGUCAGUCCCCGUCCUGGGAGUAGCUCUUCCCUCUGUACUACUUGGAGACAAACACCUCUUCCGUGCACCUCAAUUACUGAAUCCACUGCCCUCAAAUUAGUUCUGUCUAGUCUGUCAGAGGUGUCCCUGAGGGUGUCUCAGUGAAUUGAGUCAAGUCCGGACGUCUGAACUGGUCCAUGGGGCCUCCUCCUCCACCACACAUGACCUUUACCCUGUGCACAGCCCCCCACCCAGGUCAUCCUGUAAAAGGCCAGUCCAUCCUUAAGCCUGCCUACGCUUAGAGACUCGAGUGUGAUUUGCUUCUUUCUCAGGAGGUACUGAAGCCCCUAUUAAAAUGUGCCUAUU
ensembl:antisense C330018A13Rik RIKEN cDNA C330018A13 gene